ACAAUAAAGAUGUAUUUCUUUUAAUAUCAGAAAAAAACUUGUAGUGGUAACAUGUUUAAUUUACAUACAAGUCAAAUAAACCUAAAAUAUGUAAUUUCUUCAUUAUUCUGACUUUUAAAUCCCUACCCUGUGGUUAAAAGAAAUUAUGUAUACUUAGGAAAAUAUAUAUGCAUAUAUAUACAAUUAACCAAAUGUUUUAAUGUAAUCUGUUCAAGAGAUUUCAGCACUCAUAUUAGGAAAUAAUCAAUCAUCAAGAUAAAUAUGUAAAAUGCUUGGUUUUCCAGAAUAGCCUAUCUUCCCAUGUUUUCUCCCCAAGAUAUUUUUUGAAGGAAAAUUAGCACCCUCACAAUGGUGGAGGAAAAAAUAAAGCUCUUGGGCACAAUGUCCUUUACCUCUUCUGGUCUCCAAGGCUAUGUCCCUUGUCUCCUGAGUGUCUCCUGGCCUUCAAGGCUGAAACCUGAGAAUGGUGUAACUGGUAAUCUCUCUUGGUUUGGUCAGGAUUAUCACUUCCUGCUGACUCAGCCUCACGUUAGCUUCCACAGGCUGCAGACUCCUGAAUGUCUGCCAUGGCCUUUCUCCAUCCCUGACCCAGAAGUACAUGGGAUCUGCUGUGCUGACACCUCACCUUCCCAUCAGGUACACUCCUGUGGAUCUCUCCCUUCUCAACUCUGAAUCCCCAUCAUGUAAAGAUCCAGGGCAUCCUGGAAAGCCAAGCCCCUGAGCCCCUUCCCCUCAGGGCAUCACCAUCCCACCCCACUCAUGACCAGGAUCCAGAUUGCUCUUGAAGUUAAUUUGUCUUAAAGCACACACCUCCAGGGAUACUUUGUUCUUCAUUCUUUCUCUCCUUUUUUAUAUGUCUACCAUUCUCCAGGACCAGAAAGUAACCAGACUUCUCUUUUACUUCUGCUAUGCCCUAACCUCCUCCUUCCCACUCCAGCCAGGUAUGAAGGGUAUCCAAUUGGCAUCAAGAUGCUUGACCUUAGCUAAAAGCUCAAGAAGUGAUUCUUCUUGGCAUUAGAGAAAAAAAAUCUCUGAAAAGAGCCUUUGUGCUCUGUGAUUAAUUUGACAAAGGGAUAUAGGAAUCCUUAUUUAAGACAAUCAUUUACAUCAUUCUUUUUCAAAUCACCAAAUAUUAAUAAUAAACAUUACCUUGUUCUAUACCUUGGAAUUUCUCCUAUAACAAUUAUAUUUGGAUGAAUGAUGAGGGUAGAAGAGACAAAGGUUUUUUAUUCAAUAAAGCCAAACAACAAUCCCCCAUGCCAAGAAAAACCUACUUUGAAACCUUAUUUCCAUUAUAAAGUUAUUUAAGAAAAAUAACCAACCUAAAUACAUACCUAGCUAAAACAGGGAGAGAUCAAGAGAGGAAAAAAAAAAAAGGUUUUGAACUGAAGCUUGUAGGAUGCUAAACUUUACAAAGGGAAUGAACAGAAAGUAAUGAAAAAUUUAGAAAAAAUUCAAAAGAUAAGAAUUAAAAAUGCCUUCUGUGUUUUUAUUUGUAAUAUUUGACAUUUCUCUAAGUAUCAAGUUGCUUUAGAGAGAGGCAAUUAUGAUGCAAACAAGUUUCCUGCCAGAGACAUAAACCUUACAGGAGACCAAGAUAAAUAACCAAGAUACCAAGUGUCUAUAGUUCAUUUCUACACCAUUUUAUUCCAGAAAGAAUUUCAAGUAACUGACAGAGCUAAUUCUCACUGAAUAGUAAAUGAUCCAAAAUUUUGGGGGGCGUGGGGGAGAAAUGUUGGACAUGAUACAGCUUUGUAAAGAAAAUAAACCUAAGUGUAGAAGAAAGCAACAAUUUAAUCCGAUUUAACCGUGGUGAGAGGUGUAUGGAUCUAAGGCAACGGGAGGCUUUCAGAAGAUGAUUCUGGUUGCAGCCAAGAAGCCAGCAGUGACGCUGGCUUGGGCAGCGUUGGGAGCUGACGGUCAGCGGAAUACAUGUGAGAGGUGUUACAAAAGUAAAAUGUGUAAGUCUUAGUCCCUGGUUUGCUUCAGAGAUUGAAAGAAGUCAUGGUGUUAAUGGUGACUAUGGAGCUUCAAGGCCAAGAGCAGAAAUAAUAAGAACAAUAACAAAAAAUGCCCACUGUCAUUCAUGCUUAUAACGCAGAACAAGAGUAAUUUAUUUCCACGUUUUCUAUGAUCACAAUAUAAACAAAUCUAAAGAUAAUGAAGGAAAUUUUUCAAUUCAAAAAUUUGUGAUGGCCAGAUAAGGUAUUGCAUUCCUGUAAUCCCAAUAGCUCAGGAGCCUGAGGUAGGAGGAUCUCAAGUUCAAAGCCAGCCUCAACAACAGCGAGGUGCUAAGAAAUUCAGCGAGACUCUGUCUCCAAAUAAAAUACAAAAGAGGGGUGGGGAUGUAGCUCUGUGGAUGAGUGCCCUGAGUUCAAACCCUUGUACAAAAAAAAUAAAAUAAAAUUUAUGAUGACUUGGUACAUUUAACAGCAGUAAGAAUUACAAUGUGUAUGUUUUUAGGAAACGCUAUGGUUGAGAAAAUGAAAGUUAUCAUUUCUCAUCUUCAAAAACAGAGAAAAAUCAAAAAGUAAAAUUCUAACUUAAAAUAUUUGGAUUUGCACAUGUUAUCUCAAUUGACUUUCAGCACUUUGUACAUUGAUUAAUUUUUGGAUAGUUAUCUAAGAACAUUUAUUUUUUGCUACAAGUGGUAGCUGAGUUGAAUUCUGAUACCAGUUGAGCUCUUUAUGAAGUCUAUGGUCUUAAUAGAAGUAAUAUAAAGCCACAGAUGGACUUUUAUUCAAAGUGGUACAAGUUUAGAAUAUUUGGAAAAUCGACAUUUGAUUGACAAUUAUCAGAUAUAAUGGACUUGGUUUAUACUAUUAUUCAGAUGUGGCAAGGAAAUCAUAGCUUCCUUAUUUUCUGUAACCCACCCAGUAUGCUUUGUAUUUUGUUGUUGUUGUUGUUGAGAUAAAAUUCAGAAAAGAUCCCUUUAAAGUGCACAAUUGAGUGCUUUUUUGUGGGUUCACAAAGUUGCACAACCAUCACCAUCACCCUUAUCUAAUCCCAGACAUUUUUUAUCAGUCCCCCAAAACACCCCCAAGUUCAAUAGCAGCUACCCCUUACAUACCAUUCAACCGGCCCCUGCCAAGUACCAAUCUUCUUUCUGUGUCUAUGGAUUUGCCUACUUUAGAGAUUUCAUACAAAUAGAAUCAUACUCUAUGAAACCCACAAAAUUGCCCCUCUGAACUCUCACUCAGUUAAGUGGCACUAGAAGUUUACUAGCUCAAAUUUAGUGAUCAUUAUUACUUUUCCAGCUUAAGAUGAUUUAAUUUUGGUAAACACUCUUUAAAGUAUUAACUAACAGAUUGCUUCUUCCCUCCUUUCUUCCUUUCCAAGUUGAUCUGGGGGGAGAAGACCCUAAGAAGUUCUCCUGCCAAUGGUGGGAAGAUGGAUAUCUUCUCUGUUGGUCAAUACAGGGUAGAGAGCUGACAGCUCUGGUCUUAGGAUCAGUGCAUCUCAGGUACAACUGGACUCUUGGCAGGAUGAUGUCUUCCCCUUCUCCUGACACUUGAGCCUAACACUGCUUCCAGCCAUCAAGAUCGCUGCCCAGGGCUAUCUCCUCUUGCCAGUUCCAGGUUUUGCCAGCUCAUGAUCCUCUCAGUACCUCUGAGUCUACUCUGAGGGUAGGUCUGGGCCUUUUGUUUCCUUGUGGAAUGCCCUGCUUCUCUAACAUGUGGCACAUAGGAUGUGUUCAAUGAUAUCUUGAGAAUGAGUAAGUGAAUCCUCAAAUUUGAACUAAAAUACGUCCUCUGUGUAUCCUUUGCCAAUGCACCCCGCAUCCCAGCUUCCUCUGUGAGCCCAUCUGAAAAUAAUCUUGUUGCUUGUUAUGGUUUGGAUAUAAGGUGUCACUCACACACAUACACACACCACACACACACACACACACACACACACACACACACACACACACCGCCAAUUCCUGUAUGAAUUCAGGAAUAUUUAGAAGGGAAAUGUUAGGAUUAUGAGAGCCAUUACCUAAUCAGUCCAUCCUAGUUUGAAUGGACAGACUGGGUGACAACUGAAGGCAGGUGGGGUGUGGCUGGAGGCGAUGAGUUACUAGGGGACUACCCUGGAAGGGUGCAUCUUCCUUUUCCCCUCUGCUCUCUGUCUGCUUCCUGCCCUGCCAUGAGCUGAGCUGCCUUCCUCCACUGGCCCUUCCUCCAUGAUGUGUUGCCCCAACUUGGGCCCAGAGCAAUGGAGUCAGUUGUCUAUGGACUGGGACGUCUAAAAUUAUGACCCACAAAUAAACUUUUCCUCUCCUAAGUUGUUCUCAUUGGUGUUUUUUUUUCCCACAGUGAUACAAAAAUCUAACUAAAACAGUGCUAAAUAGAACAUCUGUUGGCUGGCAUUACAGCUCAGCUCAUGGCUCCUAUAUUAGGAAUCCCAGCUCUCUUCACACAAGGGCAGAGCUUAAGGCUGCCUCCAGAUCCUGGCCCCACAAAUUAUACGCUCAAUAAAUAUUAGAAAUAAUGAAGACUUGGUACUCCUAUUUUAAUUAGAUUUCUAUUUUAAAAUAAUACUGUGCAUAUUUUAUAAAACAGUCAAAUGGCAUGAGUAAGUAUAAAAUAAAAAGUAAAUCUGCACUCAGCCCCAGUUUUAAGGAGUCUUCAUGUUCAUGGAACUUGAUAUCAUCCCCAAUAUUCUGCUCUCUCUGUGUGUUUCUGAAUAAGUAUGUGGGGCAUCAUUUCAUCACCUGUGUGGGUAAAAGAGAAUAUUUACACUAGACAUUUCUAAGGGAAGAAGCGCAUGAAGGGAUUUCAUAUUUGCAAAUUCAACUGUCAGAUUUGAAAAAGCAAGUAUGAAUUCCUUACUGACCAAGAGUAUGAAUUCCAUCUUGAACACAAUGGCAAACCCUGCUUAAUCAGCCUUCUAUUGAUAUAUAUCUAUCUCAGCUCUCAACAGGACUGAAAUCUGUCCAAAGAGAACUUGAAUAUAUCUAUGCUAAUUGCUGGCUUAUCCCAAGCCUACCAUGAUGGCCUAUGGACAGUUUCUGACAUACUUUGGAACCCAGGAUAAGUAACCAAUCCAGGCAAUCUGGAUUACAAAAGGAAAUUUGGAGCAGUAAUUCUGAAUUGGAUUCUACCCAUAAAGACAUUUCUUAAGAAGGCUUAGAGGAAAGAAAGAGAAGCAAGUAUGGAAUUCUCCCUUUCUAAAUUGGUGAAUAUCUUUUCAAGGCCAGCAAUCUCCCUGGAACUGGAAGUACUGUUGAUUUAAAAAAAAAAAAAGGAGAACAAAAUGUCAGGCUUGAGAA